rnacentral:rRNA from 1 species
GAANANNGCUGGGGGAGCANACCGGAUUAGAUACCCGGGUAGUCCCAGCCGUAAACCAUGGGCGCUUGGCGUCGUCCUCGUGGCGGUGCCGCAGCUAACGCGGUAAGCGCCCCGNCUGGGGAGUACGGGCGCAAGCCUGAAACUCAAAGGAAUUGGCGGGGGCCCGCACAANCGGUGGAGCGUCUGGUUCAAUUCGAUGCUAACCGAAAAACCUUACCCGGGUUUGACAUGGUGGGAAACCCUUGCGAAAGCGAGGGGUGCCUCUGGAAUUCCACCACAGGUGGUGCAUGGCCGUCGUCAGCUCGUGUCGUGAGAUGUUGGGUUAAGUCCCGCAACGAGCGCAACCCCUGCCCUUAGUUGCUACCCCGAAUGGGGAGCACUCUAAGGGGACUGCCGGCGAUAAGCCGGAGGAAGGUGGGGAUGACGUCAGGUCAGUAUGCCCUUUAUGCCCGGGGCAACACAGGCGCUACAGUGGCCAGGACAAUGGGAUGCAACCCAGCAAUGGGGAGCAAAUCCCCCAAACCUGGUCAUGGUGCAGAUUGAGGGCUGAAACUCGCCCUCAUG